GGAGACUUGAAUAAAUGUGAAAGAAACAGAGGAGAUAACACGGUGAGGCAAACUUUGAGAAAGACGUCGAUUCGCUAGGUUGGGAUUAAACGAGAGACGUAAACAGACCCUUGGCGCCUUUGGGAAUAUGUAAAAAAAAAGAUUGCCCCACUCUUGACAUGUUUAAAAUUCUAUAUGGAAUAUCUGCUGGAGAAAUGGGUCUGUAACCUCCAGUGAGAGGAGAGGCUGUGGUCCUUGUGUGAUAACGGUAUUGUGCUUUGUCUCUUUUUCGAAGAAAAUGACAUGGGAGAGAGGUGGGUGAAGAAAAGUAUGAAACGAGGGCAAGUGGCAACAAGGAGUAAAGGGCAAGUGUAAGGGUGAGAGAGUGGCAGAAGGGGAGGAUGGUAAGAGAGGGUGAGGGAGCCAAAAACCACUGGCUCAAUGGCUCAGCGGUAGUUUGUAGCUGAGGGGUAAAGCGGGGAGCAUCGACUCUCUUCUGAUUUACCGCUGGAGAUUUGCUCCAGGUUCUUGUUUAUUUUGCCCGAGCUGACCGUAAUUUUUCACGAGCACGCUUUCAUGCUUUCCUCUCGCGUAAGCGGACCCUCGACACCCUGUCUACGCCAGCUAUGCCUCCUUUUUCCUCCUUUCUAAACCGUCUUCUAAGCCUAACCUCACCUUACCCGCGUCGUAGGAACCCAACGUCCUUCAGCCACUUUUUCGUAAAUUGCUCGUGUCUGGAUACUCCGCGAGAGGGAGAGAUAUGUUCUAUGGUAAAACGACAAAAACGAAAGGGCCAAUUGACUCGACGGUCGUACGUUGGUUAAACGUGUGAAUAAAUUGUUUUAUCGGCACCUGAAUUACGGGGGAUUUCGUACCUUUGAAUGUCAGCUGCAAGCUUCACCGUUAUUCAUCACGUUCCUACGAGGGCAUCGACGCAGAUUCGUUAAAAGCCUUCGAUGAUGCGGGACAGCCUGUCAAAAUUUUUUUUAACUUUGAUGUUUCCGGGUCGUCGCUUUCUCGUCGUCAUUGCAAACCUUCGUAAACGUAUUUUCCUACCAGUUCGCGAGGAGACGAAUUGUUUAUCGAUCCGCGCACAAUUCUAUCGUCCUUCUACCGGGCUCAUCACGUCGACUGAACUUCAAUCGAACAAUUCAAUCGUCCCGAGGCUUAGUUCACGUUUAUGCUAACGUAACUGUCAGAGAUCGUCGACGUGUGGCGCCACCUCCUGCUCUUAUAUGGAAUUCAGUGCCCCGCAUGGAAUUGUGGGUCGUGAAGCUUAAUGGCAUUGCGAGAGUAUCUUAUUACUGUUAGAAAAUAGUGGAGAUCACGAGUGGAGGAUACUGAAAAACUGUACUGAAUACGUGAAGAGACAUAGUUAUGACUGUUAUGAAUGAUUCAAGAUCCGUCCGCUACUUCGAAUUGACAGUUGGAUCGAUUUAUACUGCAGGAAAGUAAGAAGAUUCCCUUCAAAAGAAAUCAGUAAAAGAAAGCUGGGAAUGGAAGUUGGCCAUCUCCAAGAUUUAUAAUUGUUGCCAGCCUGAAAGCGGCCAAUCAAAAAGUCCACGUAAUAAAAGACCAAGAAAGUUAAUGGUGUUGGGGCACAAUUUUACGAGUCGGGUGCCCCGACCGCAAACUCCACUAAAUAGAAAAGCACACAACCCCUCCUACUUUAUAUCGAUUUCAAAAGAUCCCAACCUCCCCCUGUUUCCCCUCUAUCCACCCUUAUCUCGUUCACUCUGAUUACAGACAACCCCUAGGCUUUACGCAACUAGACUUUUAUACAAGUUUUAAAAAAUGAACAACUUUUUGGGAAUUUUAGAUUCUAUGUUGUCUUACAUCUGUUGGAUUCCGUUGUGGUUUGUCUGAAGGAAGAGUUUCACAGGAGCUGAAGUAAAUCUUGAAACAGGAUCGAUCGAUCAGGUCUGCUCCAGAAGCCGAUCACCUGAACAACUCCCAAAAGGUAUAGGGAUUGGGAUGAGGGACGAAGUCGAAACAGCCCAUUUAUAAAAUUGCUACAUUUGGCCAAUGGGAUUUUCCUAGGAAGGUUUCUCGCUACCUCGAUCGUUUGUCUCUCGGCGUAUCGACCACCUCAACUUCCUCUCUCUUCCUCUUCACACUUUUCCCGCGAAGAGAAUAAAGAUGGAAGCCACCCUUAGCCCCUGUUACACUGCCAGCGAUCACCUGGAAAUGAUAACGGGACACAAGGUUCAGGACGCAGCUGCCAUAAUUUUCGAAUGAACGAAAACUGUCGAAGCAUGUAAAGGAAAAAAGUUGAAAAAAAAUUUCCAGUUUAAUUGGAAAUAGCAGGAG